UACGAAGGGGGCUAGCGUUGCUCGGAAUCACUGGGCGUAAAGCGCACGUAGGCGGCUUCUCAAGUCAGGGGUGAAAUCCUGGAGCUCAACUCCAGAACUGCCUUUGAUACUGAGGAGCUCGAGUCCGGGAGAGGUGAGUGGAACUGCGAGUGUAGAGGUGAAAUUCGUAGAUAUUAGCUAGAACACCAGUGGCGAAGGCGGCCAACUGGUCCGGUACUGACGCUGAGGUGCGAAAGCGUGGGGAGCAAACAGG
rnacentral:rRNA from 1 species